rnacentral:rRNA from 1 species
GCUUAUCACCAUUCCAGAUUGAAUAUACCCGAUCUCGUCUGAUCUCGGAAGUCAAGCAAUCUCGGGAAUGGUUAGUACUUGGAUGGGUGGCCGC